rnacentral:rRNA from 1 species
GACGAACGCUGGCGGCGUGCUUAACACAUGCAAGUCGAACGGUGAACGAGGGAGCUUGCUCCCUCCGGAUCAGUGGCGAACGGGUGAGUAACACGUGAGCAAUCUGCCCCGAACUCUGGGAUAAGCGUUGGAAACGACGUCUAAUACCGGAUACGACGCGGGAGGGCAUCCUCUCCGCGUGGAAAGAACUUCGGUUCGGGAUGAGCUCGCGGCCUAUCAGCUUGUUGGUGAGGUAACGGCUCACCAAGGCGACGACGGGUAGCCCGCCCGGGAGGGUGACCGGCCACACUGGGACUGAGACACGGCCCAGACUCCUACGGGAGGCAGCAGUGGGGAAUAUUGCGCAAUGGGCGCAAGCCUGAUGCAGCGACGCCGCGUGAGGGACGACGGCCUUCGGGUUGUAAACCUCUUUUAGCAGGGAAGAAGCGAAAGUGACGGUACCUGCAGAAAAAGCACCGGCUAACUACGUG